AUUGAACGCUGGCGGCAUGCCUAACACAUGCAAGUCGAACGGUUUUGGUACUUCGGUGCUAAGAUAGUGGCGGACGGGUGAGUAACGCGUAGGAAUCUACCUUGUAGAGGGGGACAACCCGGGGAAACUCGGGCUAAUACCGCAUGAUAAUCGAGAGAUGAAAGGGUGGGACCUUAGGGCCACUCGCUAUAAGAUGAGCCUGCGUUGGAUUAGCUAGUUGGUGGGGUAAAGGCCUACCAAGGCGACGAUCCAUAACUGGUCUGAGAGGAUGACCAGUCACACUGGGACUGAGACACGGCCCAGACUCCUACGGGAGGCAGCAGUGGGGAAUAUUGGACAAUGGGGGGAACCCUGAUCCAGCAAUGCCGCGUGUGUGAAGAAGGCCUGCGGGUUGUAAAGCACUUUUAGUGAUGAGGAAGGUUAUGAUGUGAAUAGCAUUGUAAUUUGACGUUAGUCACAGAAAAAGCACCGGCUAACUCUGUGCCAGCAGCCGCCGUAACAC
rnacentral:rRNA from 1 species